rnacentral:rRNA from 1 species
CGUAGGGUGCGAGCGUUGUCCGGAAUUAUUGGGCGUAAAGAGUCUCGUAGGCGGUUUGUCGCGUCGACUGUGAAAACCUGGGGCUUAACUCUGGGCCUGCAGUCGAUACGGGCAGACUUGAGUUCGGUAGGGGAGACUGGAAUUCCUGGUGUAGCGGUGAAAUGCGCAGAUAUCAGGAGGAACACCGGUGGCGAAGGCGGGUCUCUGGGCCGAUACUGACGCUGAGGAGCGAAAGCGUGGGGAGCGAACAGGAUUAGAUACCCUGGUAGUCCACGCUGUAAACGUUGGGCGCUAGGUGUGGGGGACAUUCACGUUCUCCGUGCCGUAGCUAACGCAUUAAGCGCCCCGCCUGGGGAGUACGGCCGCAAGGCUA